rnacentral:rRNA from 1 species
UACAGAGGUGGCAAGCGUUGUUCGGAAUUACUGGGCGUAAAGGGCGCGUAGGCGGCUCGACAAGUCCCGCGUGAAAGCCCCCCGGCUCAACUGGGGAACUGCGCGGGAAACUGUCGGACUUGAGUUCGGGAGAGGGAAGCGGAAUUCCGGGUGUAGCGGUGAAAUGCGUAGAUAUCCGGAGGAACACCGGUGGCGAAGGCGGCUUCCUGGGCCGACACUGACGCUGAGGCGCGAAAGCGUGGGGAGCGAACGGG